rnacentral:miRNA from 1 species
ACCGUAUCCAUAUAAAAAAUUAGGUUGGUUCAAAAGUAAUUGUGGUUUUUGCUAUUGAGUGAUGGCAAAAGCUGCAAUUAGUUUUUCACUGAACUAUUUCUUUAAA